UCCCUGGUAGCUUAGACGGUAAAGCGUCUGCCUACAAUGAGGGAGAUCUGGGUUCGAUCCCUGGGUAGGGAA
rnacentral:tRNA from 1 species